rnacentral:lncRNA from 1 species
AAACGUAAUACAGCGACAAUUAAACUCGGAUAUCGUCUCAAGGAUUCUUGUUUGUAAUAAUUAAACGUAAUCGAAUGGGGGGGUUGAUUUGGUGUUCAAUUAUUAAAACGUAAUACAGCGACAAUUAAACUCGGAUAUCGUCUCAAGGAUUCUUGUUUGUAAUAAUUAAACGUAAUCGAAUGGGGGGGUUGAUUUGGUGUUCAAUUAUUAAAAUGCAGAAAAUAAGUGAUUAAUGAAAGUGAUUAUUUGAAUAAGCUGAAACGAAUCAACCCACUAUAUCA